rnacentral:lncRNA from 1 species
AACUUGUGGAUGUCCUAGCACCCACCAGGGAGAAAACUGUGAAACAGAGAUUGACCUUUGUGAUGUAACACCAUGUCAGAAUGGAGGAACCUGCACUUUUGUUGAUGGUACUCGAACUUGUGAAUGUCCUAGCACCCACCAGGGAGAAAACUGUGAAACAGAGAUUGACCUUUGUGAUGUAACACCAUGUCAGAAUGGAGGAACCUGCA